CAACGACUCUCGRCAACGGAUAUCUCGGCUCACGCAUCGAUGAAGAACGUAGCAAAAUGCGAUACUUGGUGUGAAUUGCAGAAUCCCGUGAACCAUCGAGUUUUUGAACGCAAGUUGCGCCCGAAGCCUUUUGGUCGAGGGCACGUCUGCCUGGGCGUCACAC
rnacentral:rRNA from 1 species